rnacentral:rRNA from 1 species
AGUCAAUAGAUACCCAGGUAGUCCACGCCGUAAACGAUGAAUACUAGGUGUAGGGGUUGUCAUGACCUCCGUGCCGCCGCUAAACGCAUUAAGUAUUCCGCCUGGGGAGUACGGUCGCAAGAUUAAAAACUCAAAGGAAUUGACGGGGGCCCGCACAAGCAGCGGAGCAUGUGGUUUAAUUCGAAGCAACGCGAAGAACCUUACCUAGACUUGACAUCUCCUGAAUUACUCUGUAAUGGAGGAAGCCACUUCGGUGGCAGGAAGACAGGUGGUGCAUGGUUGUCGUCAGCUCGUGUCGUGAGAUGUUGGGUUAAGUCCCGCAACGAGCGCAACCCUUAUUGUUAGUUGCUACCAUUUAGUUGAGCACUCUAGCGAGACUGCCCGGGUUAACCGGGAGGAAGGUGGGGAUGACGUCAAAUCAUCAUGCCCCUUAUGUCUAGGGCUACACACGUGCUACAAUGGUCGGUACAAUGAGAUGCAACCUCGCGAGAGUGAGCAAAACUAUAAAACCGAUCUCAGUUCGGAUUGUAGGCU